rnacentral:lncRNA from 1 species
UAUAUAUAUAUAUAUAUAUAUAUAUAUAUAUAUAUAUAUAUAUAUAUAUAUAUAUAUAUAUAUAUAUAUAUAUAAAACAGUAUAAAAAAAUGUUUACAAAUAUCUUAACUUGCAACGUGUGACAGGCUACACAUCAGUGUUGUCCAUGUUUAAUCGAGAAAUGCAUUCAGAACAUUUUAUGAAGUAUUGGCAGGCUGUACCUGACGUCUUACUUUCUUGCAACGAAAUCAAAAGAACUUCAACUACAAACCAAUUAAAUUAAUUUUUAUAGCAGCAUUAUCUUUGAAGAAUUUUCCCUUUAUUUUAUUUACUAAUCAGAUUAUUUGUAUUUUAUAAUUUCUUUAAAUUAUUUUCGGAGAUUUUUAGAUUUAAAUUUUGGUGUUAUACAAAAUUUUAAGUUUAAAAAAUUAUUUUACAUUAAGAUUCUUAGAUUUUUAAUAAUUAAUUUUUAUUCAGAAGUACAAUUAUAAUUGGAGUGUCCAGUUUUUGUAAUAUUUUUUCUGCAAAUAUCAAUUUGAUAUUAUGUUAUCAAUGUGAAAGUAUAACCUCAAGAUAUAAUUUUAAAAAUGGUAGGAUGAGGUACAUAAA